UACGGAGGAUGCGAGCGUUAUCCGGAUUUAUUGGGUUUAAAGGGUGCGUAGGCGGGAUGCCAAGUCAGCGGUAAAAAUGCGGUGCUCAACGCCGUCGAGCCGUUGAAACUGGCGUUCUUGAGUGGGCGAGAAGUAUGCGGAAUGCGUGGUGUAGCGGUGAAAUGCAUAGAUAUCACGCAGAACUCCGAUUGCGAGGGCGGCAUACCGGCGCCCUACUGACGCUGAGGCACGAAAGCGUGGGUAUCGAACAGG
rnacentral:rRNA from 1 species